rnacentral:rRNA from 1 species
GAUCAUGGCUCAGGAUAAACGCUGGCGGCGCACAUAAGACAUGCAAGUCGAACGGACUUAACCAUUAGUUUACUAUUGGAGCGGUUAGUGGCGGACUGGUGAGUAACACGUAAGCAACCUGCCUAUCAGAGGGGAACAACAGUUAGAAAUGACUGCUAAUACCGCAUAUGCCUAAGUACUACAUGGUACAAUAGGGAAAGGAGCAAUCCGCUGAUAGAUGGGCUUGCGUCUGGUUAG